UUAAUUAUUUUAUUACUAAAUUUUUUUACUUAAAUUAUUUUUUUGUUGUAUUAAUUAUUUUGAAUAGAUUGUUUUUGUUAUAGUUUAUUAGUAAGGUGACUUAAAUUUGAAAUAUCUUUUAUUUUUUUGUAAGAAGAAUUAAUUUUUUGUACCUUGUGUAUCAGGGUUGAUAAAUUAAAAAUUAAUUAUUAUAAUUUUCCCGAAUUAGAAAGAGCUAAGAGACUAUUUAUUUGAUUGUUUUAUAAACCUUUAUAAUAGUUUUUUUGAAAUGAAAUGUUAUUCGUUUUCUAGGGUAUCUGGUUUUUUAAGAAAAGAAUUUAAUUCUAUUAUUUUUUGGCAAUUGUUUUUUUUUAAUUUUUGCUUUUAAAUAUUAAACGUUAGGAGGGAUGAGCUUUUUAACGAAUUAAUUAAAAAUUUAUUUAUAUUAUUUAUUAAGUAUAAUUAGUAUUGUUAAUCUUUUAUAUAAUUUUAUAGUUAUGUUUAUAUUUAUUUUAUUUUUAUUUAUUUUAAGUUUUUUAUUAAAAUUUUUUGUUUAAUAUUUUUUCUUUAGUAAUAAUGAUUAAAUUAGUAAAUUUUUUUGUAUUAAUAAUUAUUUUUUGAAAGGUUAUCAAAAGGAAUUCGGCAAAUUAAUUUUUCGCCUGUUUAUUAAAAACAUGUCUUUUUGAUUAUAAUUUAAGGUCUAAUCUGCUCAAUGAGGAGUUAAAUUGCCGCGGUAUUUUGACCGUGCAAAGGUAGCAUAAUAAUUAGUUUUUUUAUUGAAAGCUGGAAUGAAUGAUUGGACGAGAAAAUUACUGUCUCUUGUUAAUUUAUUUUUGAAUUUAAUUUUUAAGUUAAAAAGCUUAAAUUUUUUUUAAAGACGAGAAGACCCUAUAGAGUUUAAUAAAUUAAUUUUUAUUAUUUUUUUGGUAUUUUUUAAAAUUAUAAAUUUUUGUUUAUUUGGUUGGGGUGACUAUAAGAUUUGAAAAACUCUUUUAUGUUUAUAAUCAUUGAUUUUUGAAUAUUGAGCCUGAUUUUUUCAAGUUUAAGAUAAAUUACCUUAGGGAUAACAGCGUAAUUUCUUUUUAGAGUUCUUAUUGAAAUGGAAGUUUGCGACCUCGAUGUUGGAUUAAAAUUUAUUUAUGGUGCAGAAGCUUUAAUAUUAAGUCUGUUCGACUUUUAAAAUUUUACAUGAUCUGAGUUUAAACCGGUGUGAGCCAGGUUGGUUUCUAUCUUGACUUAUUUACGAUAUUUUAGUACGAAAGGACCAAUUAUCGGAUAUUUUUAUUUUUACAUUGAAUAUUAUU
rnacentral:rRNA from 1 species